UGUUGAUUGAAUUAGCAUCCUGUGAUUUUGUAAUCAAAAUCAUUUUUUGUGUAAACAGAAGUUAAAAUUUAACACAAAAUGGAAUUUCGAGUACGAAACCGCAAGAAUUCAAUUCGGCGCACCGUACCAUCGAGUCUGAUAAAGUUAAUUGUAUUUGUUUUUCAAAAUCAAGCGUUAGGUUUUUUAAACAUCAAAAAGAGAGGAGGAACAAUGUGGAAGUUAACAAAAGGGCAAUGAAAACUGUUAAGCCAAAAAAAGUUGACAACGUAAUGACAAACACAUAAUGAAAAUAAAGUCUUAUUAAUACAAGCCCCAUGAUUGUUAAGAUGUCAGGUGUUUUGGAAGUGUGGGCAGAUUUUGAUCUCCUACUUGCAUCCGUCAUGUUGCUUAUAUUUUGUACACAUUUAUUGAUAAGUCUCCUUCUGUGCAAUCACUAACGAGGAAAAGAGGACAAAACUAUGGUUCGACAAUUUCAACAUGUCUUUUUUUAUUUAGGUUCAUCAGCAAUUGAUGGCGUCCAUAAAUAUUUUUCAUCUAGAAACAACAGCAGCGUUAUGUUUAAUGUAAAUAAAUCACCUUAUUCACAUACAAUCCAUUGCAUUAAAUUUGACAGUCAACAAACUGACAAAAGUAUUACUGUUCUUCAACAGAUUAAAAUAUCACAUACGAGUGUCAUGACGUUUGAUCAAACUAUCCUCUAAUUAUUGUGCCGAUUAUCAAAUGUAUACUCAUAUUACAACUGAGAUAGGUUAUAAACUCUCUUUAAAAUUGUUAGAAUAUUUUAUCAUUUAACUGUUCUGAGCAGUUCAAGAACUGAUCUUACUUUCAAACAGCUGUACCAUGUAGAUGUUCCACACUAAAAAUUGUUGAAUCAGUUCUUCAGUAAAACUGUCUAUAAUUCUUUCACAGUAGAACAAUCAGGCUCAGUUCAAAUAGUUCUAUAUGACAUCCUUAAAAGCAACUCUUUGGUGGAGAUUUAAAACAGGGGCCGAUAGCUGGAAGCUCCUGUUAUAUACUAGAAGUGAUUUUUAAAGGAUCAAAAUGAUGAGGGUCUUGUAUGUUUAUACUCUAUUCAUUUUACAUUACAAAUUACAUAUUAAAUAUUUCUGUUGUAGUAGUCAAAAUACUAGUCACCUAUUAUCUUACAAACAGAUUGAUAAAGAGGUUUUUAUCACAAAUAAAUAUUGGGAUUUCCUCUGGCCAUAUGGUUUUAUCGGGGCUGGUUUUACUUGACUCGUUUAAGGUUAUUGGUGAAUCAGAGACAAUAAAAAUAAAGACAGUGAUACUAAAAAGAAAAAUAAUAAUAAUAAAAAUAAAAAUAAUGAUAAUAGAAAUGAAAGUAAAAAUAAUGAUAAUAAAAGUUAUAAUUAUGAUUACAUGAGUUAACGUUGUUAUAACUGCUAUAGAACAAAAUAUGAUAUAAAUUAGUUCAUUUCAAC
rnacentral:lncRNA from 1 species